UGGGGAGUCGCCAAGUGGUAAGGCAACGGGUUUUGAUCCCGUCAUUCGCAGGUUCGAUCCCUGCCUCCUCAGCCA
rnacentral:tRNA from 6 species